AUACGGAGGGUGCGAGCGUUAAUCGGAAUUACUGGGCGUAAAGGGUGCGUAGGCGGCUUGAUAAGUCGGAUGUGAAAGCCCCGGGCUUAACCUGGGAAUUGCAUUCGAUACUGUCAGGCUAGAGUAUGUCAGAGGUUGGCGGAAUUCCUGGUGUAGCGGUGAAAUGCGUAGAUAUCAGGAGGAACACCAGUGGCGAAGGCGGCUAACUGGGACAAUACUGACGCUGAGGCACGAAAGCGUGGGGAGCAAACAUGAUUAGAAACCCUAGUAGUCC
rnacentral:rRNA from 1 species